rnacentral:rRNA from 1 species
UGCCAGCAGCCGCGGUAAUACGAAGGGGGCUAGCGUUGUUCGGAAUCACUGGGCGUAAAGCGCACGUAGGCUGACUGGUCAGUUGGGGGUGAAAUCCCGGGGCUCAACCUCGGAACUGCAUUUGAAACUGGAAGUCUGGAGUUCAGGAGAGGUUAGCGGAAUACCGAGUGUAGAGGUGAAAUUCGUAGAUAUUCGGUGGAACACCAGUGGCGAAGGCGGCUCACUGGCUCGAUACUGACGCUGAGGUGCGAAAGCGUGGGGAGCAAACAGGAUUAGAUA